ensembl:snRNA U6 U6 spliceosomal RNA
GUGCUCACUUCGGCAGCACAUACACUAACACUGGAACGAUAACGAAAAGGUUAGCAUGGUUCCUGCGCAAGGAUGACAUGCAAAUUUGAAACACUCCAUAUUUUU